GCCUAAGCGAGCCCGAUAGUCCGUCAGACCGUGUGUGACCCCGCCACGGACCCUGGCGUCAUCUAGGGGUCUUGCUGUGUGACGGCGCCUGGACGUCACGCGGGACUCUUCCCAGGCUGGGCUCGUCGACUUAGGUGUCUGUGACAAAGGUCGGAGCCGAGCAGAACGUCUGCACAGACUGCGCCCGGAGAAGACGCAGUAUCUCAGCGUUGGACGGGGGUUCGAUUCCCCCCAGCUCCACGA
rnacentral:tmRNA from 1 species